AUACGGAGGGUGCAAGCGUUAUCCGGAAUCAUUGGGUUUAAAGGGUCCGUAGGCGGAUUAUUAAGUCAGAGGUGAAAUCCCACAGCUUAACUGUGGAACUGCCUUUGAUACUGGUAGUCUUGAGUUAUAUGGAAGUAGAUAGAAUGUGUAGUGUAGCGGUGAAAUGCAUAGAUAUUACACAGAAUACCGAUUGCGAAGGCAGUCUACGACGUAUAUACUGACGCUAAUGGACGAAAGCGUGGGGAGCGAACAGGAUUAGAUACCCUAGUAGUCC
rnacentral:rRNA from 1 species